rnacentral:rRNA from 1 species
GAUGAACGCUGGCGGCGUGCCUAAUACAUGCAAAUCGAGCGAACAGAUGAGGAGCUUGCUCCUCUGACGUUAGCGGCGGACGGGUGAGUAACACGUGGAUAACCUACCUAUAAGACUGGGAUAACUUCGGGAAACCGGAGCUAAUACCGGAUAAUAUAUUGAACCGCAUGGUUCAAUAGUGAAAGACGGUUUUGCUGUCACUUAUAGAUGGAUCCGCGCCGCAUUAGCUAGUUGGUAAGGUAACGGCUUACCAAGGCAACGAUGCGUAGCCGACCUGAGAGGGUGAUCGGCCACACUGGAACUGAGACACGGUCCAGACUCCUACGGGAGGCAGCAGUAGGGAAUCUUCCGCAAUGGGCGAAAGCCUGACGGAGCAACGCCGCGUGAGUGAUGAAGGUCUUCGGAUCGUAAAACUCUGUUAUUAGGGAAGAACAAAUGUGUAAGUAACUAUGCACGUCUUGACGGUACCUAAUCAGAAAGCCACGGCUAACUACGUG